rnacentral:misc_RNA from 1 species
UACGUGGGGUGCAAGCGUUAUCCGGAUUUACUGGGCGUAAAGCGUCCGUCGGCGACUUGGAAAGUUUUCUGUCCAAGCCUAGGGCUCAACUCUAGACAGGCAGAAAAAACUUCCAAGAUUGAGUCUGUUUGGGGAAGUUGGAAUUCUCGGUGGAGGGGUGAAAUCCGUAGAUAUCGAGAGGAACGCCAGUCGCGAAGGCUGACUUCUAAAACAGUACUGACGCUCAGGGACGAAAGCUAGGGUAGCAAAAGGG